ACUGUGCUAUUGCACAAAGUUGCUGCAAACGUUUCUAAUGGCUAGCAGUCAAUGUCAGUGUCAAACACUCCCCUGAGUGACACUUGCCUCCCAGCAGGCUCAGGGUAGCAGUGGAGUGUGAAUCAGCCUUUGGAGCCAUACCUGACAGAUCAAGAGCAAACAAAGUCCAUGGUGGCGGGACAGUCAAGGUGACAGGACUUUGAAGCGACUGUCGCAUCACAUCCACAGUUAGAAGCAGAGGGUGAUGACACUCCACUCCCUUUCUGCACUUGUGUGGUCCAGGAUCCCACCCAGGGAAUGGUGCUACCCACAGUGGGCAUGCCCAUCAGUGCAUCUAACCAGCCAAUGGAAUCUGCUCUUCAUUACAAGCUAAAUGCGAUUCUCCUAUGGUAACCGAGUGCCACCACACCCAGGCCCACCUUCCCCUCCCAUCUCUGCCUUGGGUGUGCUGACCUUGGAUUUGUAUAUUCAUAGCCUUCACCACUCACUCUGGAAAAUGUAAGGUUGGGAACUUUAUGCCGAUGUGCUUUCAGGUUUGAUAUACUCUCCCCCCAGCCCAUCCCGAUCUGUUGAUCAGCCCCAACUUCAAGGAAGGGGGACAUGCUUGGGCACAUGGUGUAGUCAUAAGGUUUUAAUCAGCAAGGGAGGGUGAGGUGAGGAGCUGAACCAGGGUGUGUCCUGGCACCAGCCUCUCUACUUCCACCCUUCUUAUGUAUGGAAAAGAAUUUUCAGGUUUGUUCCAGCCCCCACCCCACCCCCCAUCACUUGCUCCCAUUCCCCUGCCUAAUGGCUGCUCACUACCUUUUCAGACAAAUGUCAGCACUGGAGCCUCAGACUCCUGGUCUCGCACGACAGUUCCAACUCUCCUCUGCUGUUCACUCCCUUGCUUCCCUCUGUCCCGGACAGCAUCUCAUACCCUGUGUGCUCCGCACCACUACGGUGCUCUUUCUUUAUCGUCCUAGCCUCUCUCGAUGGCUGCUCAUCCAUCCAAGGCCGACCUGAAUCGUCCACAAUCCACUUUGGUCCCCCUCAGUGUAGGUCCUGAUGUUGGCAUGGGCUGGGAAGGUAGAGCUUGGCUACAGAGAGCGUACCCGCCAUACCAGUCUGCCUUCGCAAUGUUUCUGAGGCAGAGCGCCAUUGCGGGGGCUGGAGGCGGCAUCGUGGGAGGGCAGAAAACCUCUCUCCUAUUUUCCUCCUUUCCUUUUGUUCUUCCCAAACGGAAACUCUCCAGCGUGCUUGGCACUGAUGCUAAUGGGAGGGUGCCAUCAGCAUACAUUACCGUUUUAUUAGUCUGUUUCUCCAUUUUGAUUCUGAAAAUAUCCUGAUUUAGUCUAAUUGCAAUUUCACUGUGUUCCAUGGGCAGGGACGGUUCGUCCUGGUGGUGGGGUGGG